GACGAACGCUGGCGGCGUGCUUAACACAUGCAAGUCGAACGGUGAAGCCCUUCGGGGUGGAUCAGUGGCGAACGGGUGAGUAACACGUGAGCAACCUGCCCCUGGCUCUGGGACAACCACUGGAAACGGUGGCUAAUACCGGAUACGACCCGCCUCGGCAUCGAGUGUGGGUGGAAAGUUUUUCGGCUGGGGAUGGGCUCGCGGCCUAUCAGCUUGUUGGUGAGGUGAAGGCUCACCAAGGCGACGACGGGUAGCCGGCCUGAGAGGGCGACCGGCCACACUGGGGCUGAGACACGGCCCAGACUCCUACGGGAGGCAGCAGUGGGGAAUAUUGCGCAAUGGGCGAAAGCCUGAUGCAGCGACGCCGCGUGAGGGAUGACGGCCUUCGGGUUGUAAACCUCUUUCAGCUCCGAAGAAGCGAAAGUGACGGUAGGAGCAGAAGAAGCACCGGCUAACUACGUG
rnacentral:rRNA from 1 species